AGGUCCAUUUGUUCUACAUAGUGUGCUAGCUCCAGUACUGGGCCUACCACUUAACCCAAAAGCAGCUGCAGAAGCAGAGAGAAUUUUGAUAUAGGUUUUGGUAGAGCAAAAGUUGUUUACAAGGGUUAUCAUACUGAACAGGACAAGACAAUUGAAUGCCCUCUCUUUUUAUAUGAAUGGGGAUUCCAGCCAUGUUUUGAGGAUCUUUGACGAGGCGGCACAAGCUAUGCAAUCGGUUCGAAACUCAAAGCUUGAGCUACAGAAUUCUACUGCACUUGGGGAAACCACCCUUUCAUCAAUACAUGGG